AUCGAUUAACGUUCUUGCUUCAGCAACUUUAUUUUAUUUUUUUAUAGAAUCUCUCAAUGUAUUUCAUUAAUUCAAGCUUCCAAACGGAUAUCACCGCAUCCGAAUUCAACUAUGAUGGAACUAUGCAAAAUUCUCUGGACCAUACAAAUUCAGGGAUAACAGCAUUAAAACCUGUAGAUCUUGAACAAGACGACGUUUUUAGCAAAUUUAUAACUUCACCAAAGAAGACUUUUACGACUCUGAAUGCCGUUAAAAGUAAUUUUUCGGGCUCCGAAGACGGAGAUCUCCUGGCAUUCUUUUCCUACACAUGAGUAGAACCAUCAAACACAUCUUUCAAUUUAACAAUUCUGCAAGACUCAUCGCAGCAGAUUAAAACAAAUAAAAAUCUUGGUGAACGGUUUUGACAGUGGCGGCAUGAUUUCUGAGACACCCUUAAACGAUAAAUCUGAUUCUUCUGUCAGAUCUAGCAGUAAUAGUGGAAACAAAAAUCUUGAGGUAGAAAAUGAUUGUCGCUCCUCAGUAGGUGAUUAUAAUGCAUCACAUCACGGUGAAUGUGAUG